rnacentral:rRNA from 1 species
AUUGAACACUGGCGGCAGGCCUCACACAUGCAAGUCGAGCGAGCGGCGGACGGGUUCGUAAUGUAUGGGGACUGCCCGAUAGAGGAGGAUAACUACUGGAAACGGUAGGUACUAACGCAUACAAUAGGAUAACACAUAUGGGAUUAGAUAGGAGGUGAGGUAAUGGCUCACCGAGGCGACGAUCCCUAGCUGGUCUGAGAGGAUGAUCAGCCACACUGGGACUGAGACACGGCCCAGACGCCUACGGAGGCACCAGUGGGGAAUAUUGCACAAUGGGCGCAAGCCUGAUGCAGCCAUGCCGCGUGUAGGAAGAAGGCCCUAGGGUUGUAAAGUACUUUCAGUCGGGAGGCGUUACCGACAGAAGAAGCACCGGCUAACUCCGUGCCAGCAGCCGCGGUAAUUC